UCUACUCUUUAUAUGUCUAUGCUUAUAUAUGUGUGUAUGGUAGCAGCCUACAUGCUGCUCACUGACGCUGUUCAUUGGUUAAGCUGACAUGUGGUUCCUGCUUGAUCCAAAACACACCUGCGGCUUUAGAGGACACCGUUGAGGAGUUUUGCAGAGAGAGAUGAGGGUGAUAUGGAUUCAGAGUCAGACUCUGGGGAGGAAGACAGUGAAGCAGAAGGAAAUGGCACCGAACUCCCCCCACCCAGCACAACCUAUUGCACACCAAAAGGACCAGUUGACAUCUCAAGAACUAAAGCGGAAGGUCCAGCUCAGCCAUGUCUGUCAAAGUUCCCAAGAACUCAGCAUGGAACAAGAACAAGGGCUUUGAACAGCUCUUGGUACAAAGACAAUCCACGGCUUGAGUACUCUGUAUCUCAAAAUGCCAGUUACUGUUUUGCAUGCAGGCAUUUCUCCCUGCCUAGUUCUACAGAAUCAUCCUUCACAUCUGAAGCAGGAGGCCUUAAAUGAGGCUAGGAAACAGAAAGUUGAAGAAAAUAAAAAAUACAUUAAAACAGUUGCUGAGGUGUUACUAUUAACAGCAACUCAAAAUAUUGCACAAAGGGGUCACAGGGAGUCUGAUGACUGACAAUAAAGGCAAUUUUUUAGCCAUUUUGAAUGAAAUUGCAAAGCAUAACCCCUUUGUGCAGAGAAGGUUAGAUGCACAUGGCAAUGCAAAGUAUACUAGCCACCAAAUCCAAAAUGAGGUUCUGCAGGGAUUGGCUGAAAUGGUUCAAAAAGAAAUCAUAGCUGCAGUUAAACAAAGCGAGGUGUUCAGUGUGUUGGCAGAUGAGACUAGAGAUUUACAACAGAAAGAACAAAUAUCUUUAGUGGUUUGUUACUAUUGCAGUGGUGCCAUACAUGAACGCUUCCUUCACUUUCAGUGGGCAGAAAGCUUGGAUGCUGAGGGUGUGACCAAAAUGAUAGUGGGGUGUCUGGAGAAGCAUGGUCUGGACUACAGAAACAAGCUUGUAGGACAGGGUUAUGACGGUGCCUCUGUGAUGAGUGGGAAGCAUUCAGGUGUUGCUGCACGCAUUAAAAACGAUGCCAACUUUGCAUUUUAUCUACACUGUAACGCACACUGUUUGAAUCUUGAAGACUUUUUUUCUCUUCUUCAGAAUAUUUAUAAAUUUGUAACUGGUUCUGCUGUUCACACCAAGUGGCUUGCUGUCCAAAAAGAGCUGUAUCCACUAGAGAAGCCUAGGGAGCUCCAGAGACUGAUAGAUGUUAGGUGGGCAUGUAGAUACCUGGCAUGUCUCAAUGUGAGAGACAGGCUUCCAGCGGUUUUGAGGCUUCUGCAGGAUAUUUCCUUUGAAAAUAACAGUGGGGAUAGAAAAGUGGAAGCAAAGGGUCUUCUGGCUCAGAUUGAUUUUCAGUCUAUAGCACUUUUAGUUACUUUUUGUAAAGUGUUUGGGGAUAUUAAAAUCCUGUCUGACGUGCUUCAAUCUAGCAAUCUUGAUUGAUCAAAAGCCGUAGAGUUAGUCGGCUCCCUGACAGACACAUUGAAAAGCUACAGAAGUGAAGCUUGCUUUGGUGAACUACUGAGGGACACUCAAGAACUAGUAGAACGCUGCAAAAUAAGCACCCUGCCACUCAGCAAGAGACAGCCUAAGGCCAGUUCCAGGUUUUUGGACUCACUGGUGAUGACUACUGUAGGACAGAGGCACAGUGACCAAAGUAAGGAGGAUUUUAACAGAGGUGUCUUUUAUCAGAUACUUGACUGUCUCACAGCUGAGCUUGAGAGGCGUUUUUCACAGAAGAAUUGUGAGCUAAUGCUAGGGGUUCAGUCUCUAGUCCCAAAAAGCCCAUUAUUCUUGAAAGAGGAAACACUGUAUGCUUUUGGACAGACAUUUGAGUCAGAUGUAGAAGAUCUUAAACAUGAGGUUCACCAAACCAGACGGCUGCUUCUGAGGAGAGAAAAAGGUGGGUUAGAGAGACCCUCUACUUUACUUGACUUUGUUGUGUUCCUGGAACCUUAUAAAGAGGAUUUUCAUGAGCUGUUUAGACUUUGUAAGAUUUCAGUUGUUAUCCCAGUCAGUACUGCGUCCUGUGAGCAAAGUUUUUCUGCUCUAAAACUGAUCAAAAACCACCUUAGAACAGCUAUGGCUGAUGACAGGUUAGGUCAUCUUGGCAUUCUCAGUGUUGAGUCAAGGAGGGCACAUACCCUCAACAUGGAUGACUUUGUAAAACAUUUUGCUUCUUCCCAUCAAAAUCAG